UUCAAAUAGGCUGUUUGGGUGGAGUGGCACUCAACCCUGGGAGUGAAGUUCUAGGUGCCAGCCCUCUGGGUAGAUGAAAUUUGAGGGGAAUUAGGUAGGCCUGUGCCUCCCUGAGAAAUUCCAUAUGGGCCAUCGUGUGCUGUGCUUAUUGCUGUGACCAGGAGUUAGAGAUUUCACUGGAUCCUUAUGGGCUCUGAUGGAGAGUGAUUUUUUGCAAUUUUAAAAUGGUGUGCAAUUUCACAAAAAGCCUGGGGAUCCGGGACAGAAUAGAGGUUGCCUCUGAUAUAGGGGAGGUGGCCCAGUCUGACCAUCCCUCAGUGCAAGGAUAUAAUUAGUACCUACAAAGGGGCUUUGGGACAAGGGGAUGUCUUAGGUUGGGUUUCCCAGUCAGGUCUUGGGACGAGGACGUGUGUGCAGGUGACCCACUGAGACAGUGCUCUGGGGAAGCCAGUGAGGGAGUGGGGGAGCCUAAGGGUCCUGCGACGGUGGAUCUCAGUGAUCCCAUAGGGAACUCUGGACCACUCUCAGCCUGGGAGUGGCCCUGCCACCAGGCAGGGGAGGUGGGUGGAGCAGCCCUAUGGUCAUGAAUUCCUGAGCAGUAAGAAUUCCUGGGCAUUGUCCUAACUCCUUGAGUCCAGGAGAAAGUGGUGCCAUUCACCUGAGGGGAAUCUUUGCUUGAAAAAUUUCAGGGACUGUAAACAAAAAAGCACACGGAAGCCUGAAGCUGAGAGAAGGGUGUACCCAGAGUUGUGAGGGAAUCUGGGUAGCACAUACCAGUGUCGGCCACAGGGGAGGGUCCCUCUCCUCUGGCUGCGUCAGAAAACUAACAUGAUCCACUCCCCUGGUGGGUGUGACCCGUGGAACAAAGGCAGAGACGCAGACCUGGGAGGUGAGGAUCUCUGUGUGAGUCUUGACUCCCGCUGGCGACCCUCAGAUCCUGGGCAGAGUAAAUCAUCUGCACCUCAGACCCUCGUCUGUCAGCUGGGAGCAAACUCUCCUUCUCCCAGGCCGCGGUGAGUGUGAAACCUGCUCACGUGCUGUGGAAACUGCAAAACCUCAGGUAUCGUGCCUUCUGAGGUGCCCGUGGACCUGGGGGCCAUGUGGCCCUGCAGUGGACCGGGGCUGCCGGGUGAAGAGCUGAUGUGGGUGGGGCAGACGUGACAGGCACAGGGCACUGUGAAGGCGAGUCCCAGCCGCUCCCCUGGCCAGAUGCUGGCCUGGGAGAUGGGUGUGGACCACCUCACUCCAGCGCCUGUGGUGACGAUUGCUUCUGUUCUGCAGACCUGGAGAUGCAGCCUGCUGGAGGUGCUGGUGCCCGUCCUUCCUGCCUGGGCAUGGCUCUGUGUUCCCGGAGCUUCCUCAGGAGGCCACAGCUCCAUGGCCCUUGCCUUGACCUGGGAUGGACCCAGGAACCAAGUCAUUGGCUGAGGUCACAUGUAUAGAAGUGACGGAGGAACUGGGCCUGGAGCCCAAGCCUCACGACAAGGCUGUGCCUUUUCCAGAGCAUCAUGGGACAUGUGCCGGGCUGUGGGACAGCCACCAGCAGGCUGCAGCUGAAGAGCACAGGGCCUGGGUGUGACAAGUCAGAAGAGGUGACACCUGUCACUUUGUCAUCUCCUGGAUGAAAGGCCACCUCAGCGUCGGCCUGGACGUGGAGAUGUGCUGAAGCUUGCUACUGACACUCACAGCUGGAGAGAUCUCAGCUAGUUGCUCUGUUUCUCUCGCUACACUCUCCUAUCCCAAGCCUAGGGCUUCAUGAGUAGACAGUGUCCCUGAGGAAUGAAUGCCACCCUGCACCUCCGAGUUCCAGGCUCGUGAGGCACAGAGAGGACACGGGCCCGACGAGUGCACCCACUCUCCAGUCUUGAGUGACUCUUCUUGCCCGGGGUGAGUGAGGCGCCAGGGGAAGUUGGCACCUCUGCAGUUUCGCCCUUCCUGCCGCUGCCUUGUGGGGAAACCAAACAGCAAAGGGAGGCCUGGGCUGGGGCUCUGAGACCCCAUACGGCACUGUCUUCUCUUCUCUCUGUGGUUGGUGCUCCGAACCAGAGGCCGAUGACAUUAAAACUUCGUGACUUUGAGCAAAGUCUUUCUGAUUUCUAAUAUACACGGCCUCUGUUAAACUGA